rnacentral:rRNA from 1 species
GCUCCAAUAGCGUAUACUAAAGUUGUUGCAGUUAAAAAGCUCGUAGUCGGAAUUCGGAUUGUGCGUGCUGGUCCGCCGCAAGGCGAGUACUGGCGUAGCGCGAUCCUCCUUCUGGAAAUGGAGUGUGCCUUCACUGGGUGUGCUUCCAGGUCCGGAUCGUUUACUUGAGUAAAUUAGAGUGUUCCAAGCAGGCGUUUGCC